rnacentral:rRNA from 1 species
GUAAAACGCAGUAACGCCGAUGGUAGUGUGGGGUUUCCCCAUGUGAGAGUAGGGCAUCGCCAGAUUGAAUUUAGGCCGAGAGGCGAAGGGAACCCUGUGGUUAGCGAUAACU